rnacentral:rRNA from 1 species
UGGGGAAUAUUGGACAAUGGGCGAAAGCCUGAUCCAGCCAUGCCGCGUGUGUGAAGAAGGUCUUCGGAUUGUAAAGCACUUUAAGUUGGGAGGAAGGGCAGUAAGCGAAUACCUUGCUGUUUUGACGUUACCGACAGAAUAAGCACCGGCUAACUCUGUGCCAGCAGCCGCGGUAAUACAGAGGGUGCAAGCGUUAAUCGGAAUUACUGGGCGUAAAGCGCGCGUAGGUGGUUCGUUAAGUUGAAUGUGAAAGCCCCGGGCUCAACCUGGGAACUGCAUCCAAAACUGGCGAGCUAGAGUAGGGCAGAGGGUGGUGGAAUUUCCUGUGUAGCGGUGAAAUGCGUAGAUAUAGGAAGGAACACCGGUGGCGAAGGCGACCACCUGGGCUCAUACUGACACUGAGGUGCGAAAGCGUGGGGAGCAAACAGG